GACGAACGCUGGCGGCGUGCUUAACACAUGCAAGUCGAACGGAAAGGCCCUGCUUUUGUGGGGUGCUCGAGUGGCGAACGGGUGAGUAACACGUGAGUAACCUGCCCUUGACUUUGGGAUAACUUCAGGAAACUGGGGCUAAUACCGGAUAGGAGCUCCUGCUGCAUGGUGGGGGUUGGAAAGUUUCGGCGGUUGGGGAUGGACUCGCGGCUUAUCAGCUUGUUGGUGGGGUAGUGGCUUACCAAGGCUUUGACGGGUAGCCGGCCUGAGAGGGUGGCCGGCCACAUUGGGACUGAGAUACGGCCCAGACUCCUACGGGAGGCAGCAGGGGGGAAUAUUGCACAAUGGGCGGAAGCCUGAUGCAGCAACGCCGCGUGCGGGAUGACGGCCUUCGGGUUGUAAACCGCUUUCGCCGGUGACGAAGCGUGAGUGACGGUAAUGGGUAAAGAAGCACCGGCUAACUACGUG
rnacentral:rRNA from 1 species